rnacentral:rRNA from 1 species
AAUCAACGCUGGCGGCGUGCCUCAGACAUGCAAGUCGAACGCGAAAUUUCCCUUCGGGGAGAAAGUAGAGUGGCGCACGGGUGAGUAACACGUAGGUAAUUUGCCUUUGGGUGGGGAAUAACUCAGGGAAACUUGAGCUAAUACCGCAUAAUGCAGCGGCUCGACAUCGAGACAGUUGUUAAAGCGGGGGAUCGCAAGACCUCGCGCCUGAAGAGAAGCCUGCGGCAGAUUAGCUAGUUGGUAAGGUAAUGGCUUACCAAGGCGACGAUCUGUAACCGGCCUGAGAGGGCGGUCGGUCACACUGACACUGACAUACGGGUCAGACUCCUACGGGAGGCAGCAGUCGGGAA